UACUGGGCGUAAAGCGCGCGUAGGCGGAUAUUUAAGUCAGAUGUGAAAUCCCUGGGCUCAACCUAGGAACUGCAUUUGAUACUGGAUAUCUAGAGUAUGGUAGAGGUGAGUGGAAUUUCAGGUGUAGCGGUGAAAUGCGUAGAGAUCUGAAGGAACAUCAGUGGCGAAGGCGACUCACUGGGCCAUUACUGACGCUGAGGUGCGAAAGCGUGGGUAGCAAACAGGAUUAGAUACCCUGGUAGUCCACGCCCUAAACGAUGUCAACUAGGUGUAUGGGAGUUUAACUCCUGUGUAUCGAAGCUAACGCGAUAAGUUGACCGCCUGGGGAGUACGGUCGCAAGACUAAAACUCAAAUGAAUUGACGGGGGCCCGCACAAGCGGUGGAGCAUGUGGUUUAAUUCGAUGCAACGCGAAGAACCUUACCUGGUCUUGACAUGUAGCGAA
rnacentral:rRNA from 1 species